GACUGCUGAGGAGCCCCAUAAUAGGACGAAACGGACGUCCAGGGC
rnacentral:hammerhead_ribozyme from 1 species